CCUACGGGAGGCAGCAGUGGGGAAUAUUGCACAAUGGGGGAAACCCUGAUGCAGCAACGCCGCGUGAAGGAAGACGGUUUUCGGAUUGUAAACCUCUGUUCUUCGUGAAGAAUAAUGACGGUAGCGAAGGAGCAAGCCACGGCUAACUACGUACCAGCAGCCGCGGUAAUACGUAGGUGGCAAGCGUUGUCCGGAAUUACGGGGUGUAAAGGGAGCGCAGGCGGGAAGCAAAGUCAGGUGUGAAAACUACGGGCUUAACUUGUAGACUGCAGUUGAAACUGGUUUUCUUGAGUGAAGUAGAGGUUGGCGGAAUUCCGAGUGUAGCGGUGAAAUGCGUAGAUAUUCGGAGGAACACCGGUGGCGAAGGCGGCCUACUGGGCUUUAACUGACGCUGAGGCUCGAAAGUGUGGGUAGCAAACAGGAUUAGAUACCCGAGUAGUC
rnacentral:rRNA from 1 species